GGAAAUAGUGACACGUGAGUAACAAAAUGGGCGUAUCAAUUGGUCUAUGCUAUUUUUGGUGUUAUAAUUUUACCUAAUAUAAUAAGCAGCAACACUUUGUUAGUGAGACGGGCUUUCACCAUGUUGGCCAGGCUGGUCUGGAACUCCUGACCUCAGGUGAUCCGCCUGCCUCAGCCUUCCAAAGUGCUGGGAUUACAGGUGUGAGCCUCUGCGCCCGGCUGUGAUGUCUUGAUUGAUCAUAGGAUUUUUCUGGCUAUUCUAGCUACUUCCAAUUCGCUUCAGCCAAUUUAGUUGAAGUUUUAUCACUUGUGACUUCAGAGUCCUGGUUAAUAUCCUGUUGCCCUCAGGACAUGCAGGAUGGAGGAAGGCACCAGGGAGCCGAGGGAAGUGAGCAGAGAGGCAGUCACUUCAGGGCCACCAGCAUAGCCCCCGUCACUGUCCACAGACACAGGCCCUUCCCCUUCUCAUGGUUGAGCAGGCUCCACCUCACUUCCGUGUAUGACUUCAUAGACCGUUAGGUUCCGUGGUACCCUGGAGUCCACAGCUGCUGAAUCUGAAGGGCCAUCAGAAGACUGGCUUCUCCAUGAUGGUUUAUGGACUAAGGCAAAGAUGAGCAGAGCCAUGGCCCUCUUCUUUGUUCUCUGCUGGAUCCAAGAGUCGGGGGUCUCCCUAUGUUUCCCAGGCUGGCCUCGAACUCCUGACCUCAAGUGAUCCUCCCACCUCAGCCUCCCCGAGUGCUGGGAUUAAAGACGUGAGCCACGGCACCUGGCCUGAAUUUUCCUCAAAUUCAAAAAAUCCUGAUGAAGGUUUGGCUAAAAUCUUUGGUGAGUUACCCCACUCCCUGUGGAACCUCAGGCUGGAUUUGAAGAGUUGCGUGCAUGGUCCUCAUUGUCUCCCAGGUAACCUGUUCCCGCUGCUGUGAAGGGAAGGCAGGUGCUCUUCCUUGAGGCUAGAAUCUGUCUACGUGUCACAGUCUCAGGAAAUUAAGCAAAACAGAUGAUAAACACCUCAAAAGGACCCUACUGAGCAUC
rnacentral:misc_RNA from 1 species